AGUGAACGCUGGCGGUAGGCCUAACACAUGCAAGUCGAACGGCAGCACAGUAAGAGCUUGCUCUUACGGGUGGCGAGUGGCGGACGGGUGAGGAAUACAUCGGAAUCUACUUUUUCGUGGGGGAUAACGUAGGGAAACUUACGCUAAUACCGCAUACGACCUACGGGUGAAAGCAGGGGAUCUUCGGACCUUGCGCGAUUGAAUGAGCCGAUGUCGGAUUAGCUAGUUGGCGGGGUAAAGGCCCACCAAGGCGACGAUCCGUAGCUGGUCUGAGAGGAUGAUCAGCCACACUGGAACUGAGACACGGUCAAGACUCCUACGGGAGGCAGCAGUGGGGAAUAUUGGACAAUGGGCGCAAGCCUGAUCCAGCCAUACCGCGUGGGUGAAGAAGGCCUUCGGGUUGUAAAGCCCUUUUGUUGGGAAAGAAAAGCAGCAGGUUAAUACGCCGCUGUUCUGACGGUACCCAAAGAAUAAGCACCGGCUAACUUCGUG
rnacentral:rRNA from 1 species